UACGAAGGGGGCUAGCGUUGUUCGGAUUUACUGGGCGUAAAGCGCACGUAGGCGGAUUGUUAAGUCAGGGGUGAAAUCCUGGAGCUCAACUCCAGAACUGCCUUUGAUACUGGCAAUCUCGAGUCCGGAAGAGGUAAGUGGAACUCCUAGUGUAGAGGUGGAAUUCGUAGAUAUUAGGAAGAACACCAGUGGCGAAGGCAGCCCCCUGGGUCAAGAUUGACGCUCAUGCACGAAAGCGUGGGGAGCAAACAGG
rnacentral:rRNA from 1 species